UUGCUCCCGGAUGUUAGCGGCGGACGGGUGAGUAACACGUGGGUAACCUGCCUGUAAGACUGGGAUAACUCCGGGAAACCGGAGCUAAUACCGGAUAGUUCCUUGAACCGCAUGGUUCAAGGAUGAAAGACGGUUUCGGCUGUCACUUACAGAUGGACCCGCGGCGCAUUAGCUAGUUGGUGGGGUAAUGGCUCACCAAGGCGACGAUGCGUAGCCGACCUGAGAGGGUGAUCGGCCACACUGGGACUGAGACACGGCCCAGACUCCUACGGGAGGCAGCAGUAGGGAAUCUUCCGCAAUGGACGAAAGUCUGACGGAGCAACGCCGCGUGAGUGAUGAAGGUUUUCGGAUCGUAAAGCUCUGUUGUUAGGNAAGAACAAGUGCGAGAGUAACUGCUCGCACCUUGACGGUACCUAACCAGAAAGCCACGGGCUAACUACGUGCCACCAGCCCGCGGUAAUACGUAGGCGG
rnacentral:rRNA from 1 species